rnacentral:lncRNA from 1 species
GGGUGUUAUCUACAGUGUUUCUAAAAUUACCUCUCUGAGACUUUCGUCUAGCUUUAAGGAACUUCAGAUACAGAGGAAAUGAAACAUAUUUCUCCUCGAUGACUUUAAAAACAGCUGGGCAUUCAGUAAUCAUCAAGGUGGGCUCUACCUACGAUUAUUCACGUGGAAAGAAUUAACCUGUUGAACAAAUUAUUGGCGAGCCCAGGUCAGGAUCGCCUCUGCUCUGGAACCUUCCUACACUGAGUGUUCAGCUGGGGGUUGCAUCAUAUAUGUAUUCAACCUGCCCACAUUCAGUUAUAUGCAUGCAAUCGAGAGAGAGAAAAUUCAAACAGCACAAGCAAGUGAACCACCAGCCAUUCCAGUCUACAAGUGAUGAAACAGUGUUUGCUCUUUCCCAAUCUAAUCGUAAAAGGGGAUGUGGAAUGCUGGUACCUACUGAAUAUGCCGUGUCUCUUCAGAUACAAAAGCCAAGGAAGAAUUUCCUGAUGUUGGAUAAGUCAAUACUGAAAGGAGAUGCUAGCAAAGUCACGGUGCUACAGUCCUUGGAAAUCAUUGAAAAUUUGAAAGCUUAUUACGAAAACACAAAAUCUAAUAUUCUUCUUGAUCUUAUGUCAAGAAAAUCAACACAGACUGGGCCUAGAAGAGGCUAAGGAAGAAAGAAGUACUAUUAUAAAAAGUAGAAGAGGAUCAAAGACCACUUCACCUACUUUAUGAACUUGCCUGGGGCUGCUCCAUCUAUGGGACUCCAAUUCAUCUUUGGCAUGAAUGACCUAUGUUGCCAAACACUUGACUUUACAUAAAAAGGCAGAGAAAGACAUCAGACUUGUGCCAUCUGGUAUUAUUGUUCUUUUUUUGAGGACUAAAUGUAAAAUUAAAAUGUAAGGAGGAAAACAAUGAAGAUUGUAGCUGGGGGAAAUGAAAACCACAUUUUGAUGUUUAUUUCUCUGGUCUCAUGAGGUUAACUUUGUAACAAACAAAGGGAUGUGGUAGAUUAAAAACUAGCAUUAAAAUAAAGAAAUACAGAAAUGAAUCAAGUAUUUAGACAUGGAAAUAUACAGAUCUUCAACUUUAGUUUGUACAGCUGUUUGUUUUUAAAGCGUAGAACUAUUCGUUGAAAAGAGUUAGAAACCAAAAUCAUCUUAGAGAGCCAUGAAAUUUUAAAAUGGCCCCAUUUUCCUGGUUGAGGCUCAAAUUAUUCUGAUCACUUUAGUUUGUCUUGGAUAAUUUUUGUUCAGUUGGAUUACAUAAUGAUUUUUGCUAUCUCACUCACAGAAUUUAUUUUGCCAUUUUCCCACAAUCUAGAAGACUUUUAAUGCCCA